UACGUAGGUGGCGAACGUUGUCCGGAUUUACUGGGCGUAAAGCGCGCGUAGGCGGGCUGGUAAGUCAGAGGUGAAAUCUCCCGGCUCAACUGGGAGGGGCCCUCUGAUACUGCCAGCCUUGAGAUGCCUAGAGGAGAGUGGAAUUCCCGGUGUAGUGGUGGAAUGCGUAGAUAUCGGGAGGAACACCAGUGGCGAAGGCGGCCGGCUGGGGGUGCCCUGGACGCCUGAGGCGCGAAAGCGUGGGGAGCGAAACCGG
rnacentral:rRNA from 1 species